rnacentral:rRNA from 1 species
UUAGAUUAGACCUCAAAUCAGGCAGGAUUACCCGCUGAACUUAAGCAUAUCAAUAAGCCGGAGGAAAAGAAACUAACCAAGGAUUCCCCUAGUAGCGGCGAGCGAAGCGGGAAGAGCUCAAAUUUGUAAUCUGGCGCUUUCGGCGUCCGAGUUGUAAUCUCUAGAAGUGUUUUCCGCGUUGGACCGCACACAAGUCUGUUGGAAUACAGCGGCACAGUGGUGAGACCCCCGUUCACGGUGCGGAUGCCCAAUGCUUUGUGAUACACUUUCGAAGAGUCGAGUUGUUUGGGAAUGCAGCUCAAAUUGGGUGGUAAAUUCCAUCUAAAGCUAAAUAUUGGCGAGAGACCGAUAGCGAACAAGUACCGUGAGGGAAAGAUGAAAAGCACUUUGGAAAGAGAGUUAACAGUACGUGAAAUUGUUGGAAGGGAAACGCUUGAAGUCAGACUUGCUAUUCGGGCAACCGAGUUGCAGGCCAGCAUCAGUUUUUCGGGGCGGAAAAUCACGGUUAGAAGGUAGCAGUUUCGGCUGUGUUAUAGCUUUCCGUUGGAUACGUCCUGGGGGACUGAGGAACGCAGCGUGCUUUUUGCAGGAGCUUCGGCUUCAUCACGCUUAGGAUGCUGGUGUAAUGGCUUUAAACACGUCUUGAAACACGGACCAAGGAGUCUAACAUGCUUGCGAGUAUUUGGGUGUCAAACCCGGAUGCGUAAUGAAAGU